UAGCCUAGUGGUUAAGGCUAUGGAUUGCCAAUCCGGAGACGGCGGGUUCGAUUCCCGU
rfam:Aedes albopictus isolate Foshan contig32105, whole genome shotgun sequence.